rnacentral:rRNA from 1 species
UACAGAGGUGGCAAGCGUUGUUCGGAAUUACUGGGCGUAAAGGGCGCGUAGGCGGUUUGUUAAGUUGGAUGUGAAAACUCUGGGCUUAACCCAGAGCCUGCAUCCAAAACUGGCAGGCUAGAGUUUUGGAGGGGGAAGCGGAAUUCCUGGUGUAGCAGUGAAAUGCGUAGAUAUCAGGAGGAACACCGGUGGCGAAGGCGGCUUCCUGGACAAAAACUGACGCUGAGGCGCGAAAGCUAGGGGAGCAAACAGG